CUAAGGUGCUUGAACGAACUUUGUUGAAGGAACUCGGCAAAAUAACCCCGUAACUUCGGGAGAAGGGGUGACUUUUUCGGGGCAACCCGUAAAAGUUGACACAAAAAUGGAGGUAGCGACUGUUUAAUAAAAACACAGGUUUCUGCUAAUUUGUAAAAAGAUGUAUAGAAACUGACACCUGCCCGGUGCUGCAAGGUAAAUAAAUUAUUGUUUUGGCUUUAAUUUUAAACCCCAGUAAACGGCGGCGGUAACUCUGACCGUCCAAAGGUAGCGAAAUUCUUUGUCGGGUAAGUUCCGACCUGCAUGAAUGGUGUAACGACUUCCUUACUGUCUCCAACAAAGCUUCAGUGAAAUUGAAAUUCCUGUGAAGAUGCAGGUUAUACGCAGCAAGACGGAAAGACCCCGUGCACUUUUACUAUAAGCAUACACCGCGAUCAGUUUUAAAUUGUGUAGAUAUAAGUGGGAGUUGUUUGAAACUUUUACGUAAGUAAAUUGUUUAGGCGCUAGUGAAAUACCACUCUUUUUUCAAUUAUUCGCUCACUUCAAAUGAAGGACUCUGUAUGCUUGGUAGUUUCGCUGGGGCGGCGACCUCCUAAAAAGUAACGGAGGUGCGCAAAGGUAAACUUAAAUAAUUAAAAUUAUUUUUAAGCGUAAUAGUAAUGUUUGCCUGACUGUAAGAUUGAUAAAUCGCGCAGAGACGAAAGUCGGUUAUAUUGAUCCGGUGGUUUUUAGUGGAAAAGCCAUCGCCAACAAAUAAAAAGUACGCCGGGGAUAACAGGCUGAUGCCUCCCUAGAGCUCUUAUCGACGGAGGCGUUUGGCACCUCGAUGUCGGCUCAUCACAUCCUAGAGCUGAAGAAGGUUCUAAGGGUUGGGCUGUUCGCCCAUUAAAGUGGUA
rnacentral:rRNA from 1 species